GCAAGUCGAACGCAUCCUUCGGGGUGAGUGGCAGACGGGUGAGUAACGCGUGGGAACGUGCCCUUCAGUUCGGGAUAACCCAGGGAAACUUGGGCUAAUACCGGAUACGUGCGAGAGCAGAAAGAUUUAUCGCUGAAGGAUCGGCCCGCGUCUGAUUAGCUAGUUGGUGGGGUAAUGGCCCACCAAGGCGACGAUCAGUAGCUGGUCUGAGAGGAUGAUCAGCCACAUUGGGACUGAGACACGGCCCAAACUCCUACGGGAGGCAGCAGUGGGGAAUAUUGGACAAUGGGCGCAAGCCUGAUCCAGCCAUGCCGCGUGAGUGAUGAAGGCCUUAGGGUUGUAAAGCUCUUUCGUCCGGGACGAUAAUGACGGUACCGGAAGAAGAAGCCCCGGCUAACUUCGUGCCAGCAGCCGCGGUAAUACGAAGGGGGCUAGCGUUGUUCGGAAUCACUGGGCGUAAAGGGCGCGUAGGCGGCCGAUUAAGUCGGGGGUGAAAGCCUGUGGCUCAACCACAGAAUUGCCUUCGAUACUGAUUGGCUUGAGACCGGAAGAGGUAAGUGGAACUGCGAGUGUAGAGGUGAAAUUCGUAGAUAUUCGCAAGAACACCAGUGGCGAAGGCGGCUUACUGGUCCGGUUCUGACGCURAGRVGCG
rnacentral:rRNA from 1 species